GCCCCUGUAGCUCAGUUGGCUAGAGCAUCCGUCUUGUAAACGGAAGGUCGUCGGUUCGAGUCCGACCGGGGGCUCC
rnacentral:tRNA from 1 species